GUUUACCACAUAAUGUAAACAAUCAGUGUAUGGCAUGUCAAAAAAAUUUCCAAUUGAAAAUUUAAUCAUUUAUUUAUUGAAUAAAUAUUGUACGUCAAUGUUGUGCGAUCGGUUGCUUUCCCCAGAGAUUCAGAUCGUCGUCGAAAAUGAUCUACUGGUACUGGUGUGAGUCAAAUAAAACCAAGCUCAAGGUUAUAUAUAUUUAUGAAAAUCCAUUAUGAUGAAUCUCAAUAUGAACAACAUCGUCAGGAUGGCUCAAAAAAAAUUAAAACCAAAUGCAGUACCAACUUUGUUUGGUGAUGUUUUGAUAGAUUAUUUGAGUAAAAUCCACCAAAAUAAAAGUAACUACAUGAUGUUAGUUGGACUUCAUUUGAAUCACUAAAGCAGUUGUCAACAAUAAACUUAGGUAAAUCUUUUUCCAGACCAUUGCUUGAUGUAAUUAUAGAUGAAUAUACCACUGACAACAAAAAGAGUUUAUUCAAGUUACCAAAGUCUAAUAAUACCAAAUCUUUACCAAGUGAUGAGCAGCAGAUUGAAUUGCCACUAGUAAACUUAGAUGAGGAUCAUUUAGUAUCAAUUUUUACUCAUAAUAUUUAUCCUGAUACUUUCAACAGUUUUUUAUCAAUUCUUGCUGAUGAAUUACAAGCAGAAAUAAUGAAAAAAUAUAAUAAAGGAGUUAUUAAAUUUAAUUUCAUGCUUCAAAAUCAACAUCGUCUUUAUCACCAUGAAAUUUCGAGUUUAAACUAGGAAGUAGAAAGCUUAAAGAAAAUAAAUAUUAGUUUAGACUGUGAAUUACGAGUUGAAUAAGAAAAAAGGAUACACUCAGAAAGACAACGAGAAAAAAUUAAAAACAAGUUUAACAAGCUUCUUAAUGUAUUCGAAAAAUUGUCCAUUUUUAAAAAACCUUUUAAUUGAGUUAUUUUAUUUACUUAUUCAUAGUAUGCGACAGGCAAAAGCCUACUG
rnacentral:misc_RNA from 1 species